rnacentral:lncRNA from 1 species
ACUCAAAAGAGUCCUUAUUACAUUUAUUAUCACACUAUUUUAUAGAAUAGUGAGGACUACUAUGACACUAUCUUGGACCAUUACUCCGUUCCCCGACUAGUCCCUGUUACGUUCUCAUUUCCUGAAGAGAACAAUGAAAGCAAAAGGGUGAGCUCAACUAGCCCAGUAAGAAAUAUUAUGACUAAGAUAAUGCAGAAUAAUUUAUCGUUAGCCUUCAACAGUGUUAAACUGAUAAAAUAUAACAAACAUCAAGUUUAACUGCAGCGGAACAAGCAAUCUAUUAGAAGAGUCGAGUAGAGAAUAAAAUCUACCAUCUUCUAUGAUUUAAAAGGUUUUUUAAUCACUUUUAUCGCUGAGACUCAGCUUAAUAAAUCUUCCUCCAAUAAGAACAAAUCAAACAAAUAUAAUAUAUAUAUAUAUAUAUAUAUAUAAACUCACACAUGCUUAAAAGAAAAAUUCACCCACCCAUGAACAACUUUGCAACUUAUUCUGCUAAUUAUUCAAACUUUAUAUAUAUGUAGAUAUAUAAUGUAACAUAGUACUCCUUCCCGUGCAAUCCAAUCCUCCACCCUUUUUUGGCAACUUCCAUAAUACAUAUAUAAUAUAACCACACCCACCAAUAUCACCAUCCACCACAUUCACCACCCACCACACCCAUAAUAUAUAUAUAUAUAUAUAUAUACUAAAUAACUUUUCACCGAUUAUUUUGAAAAAAUGAGUAAAUGGGGGUCCAAAAAUAUAAUAAUAAAUACUUCAUAAAAAUUUCCUCAAUAUUUUUAACAACAUUUAUCAUCAUUAUUAUAAUUCACAAUAUUAAUCGACCAGGUCGUUCCCAGGAAAGAGGAGGCUUUCCAAUAAGGAUUUCUCCCUAUUAGCGCGCAAUCAGGUGACCAAACCUCUCCUUGACAGAACUUCUAGACAUCGUUAAUAUUGCAAAUAAUAAUAUUAAUAACUUUGUCGUCUCAAUUAUUGAUUUAAUAAUAUAUAAAUAUCGACAAUAAUUGAAUCAAAUAACGUGAGAUACUAUGCAUCAAUUACUGUAGCAAUAAUUGAACAAAUCUGAGUGACUUCUCACGUAAUUAAGCAUCAAUAAUCAAUACCGUGUGCUACUAUGCAACCACGCGUAUUCCUGUACUUUCAACACCGGGUGUUUCAACAGUUAACGGUAAAACUUCCGCCGUUAUUUUCAUAAAAAAUAUUUUUGUCGUUUUUUCAAUCCGACAAUAAUUCCGUUGUGGGAUCCACCAAUGAUUGUGCCGUCGUACGAAUAUUCCCUGUUAAAACUAAUAUUCCCCGACCAAUCGAAUAUUAUAUAACAACUUGCGAACUUUGCAAAAUUUAUGAAUAUUACCCACAACUAUAACAUUAUAUCAAAUUUACUCCAUAAUAUUCAAAAAUGAUAUUUAUAGAAUAUUCAUCUCUAUUCAUAAAAGUUGGGUCUUACAGAGUCCGUUCUUGAGCCGUAUCCUAGCUGGUAACAUCUUUUAAAACUUCCUCAAAUAGAUUAUCAUUUCUAAUCAUCUAACAAGCCGAAAUAUUAGCUCAAAAGUCCCUACCUGAAAUAAUUUUCUAAAUUUUUGGCAGUUUUGACUAGUCUCCUUCCGAAAGGCAUAUCUCCCACCUUCGAAUUCAGAAUGAGGUCAUUCUUACGUCCACGGACUCGUUACUUAAUGUACUACAUAACCCCCAAAACAAAAAAAAUUCAACAAACCAUUUGAAACAAAAAACUGCUCAAGGGUCAGAGGUUACACUAAUUUCAUUUUUAACUAGUUUUACUUAAAAAUUCAUCAUGGCUUCGUUACAAAAGUUUUUACUUCUGUACCAAUUGGGUGAUGUUCAUGACUCAUAAGAGUAUAACAUGACACCCUAAAAUUUAAUUUUUACAAUUCACAAGCCACCUCAAAAGGUCACCAUGAUAGUCCAUAACAUUCCACUAUUAAAGUCUUUUCAUAUUCAAGCAUAGGCUUACCAUUUUAAAUAUUUCGUUCCACUUUUCAUGCAUAUUACCAAUAGUUUACAUGUUUAAAUACAACAACCUUAUUACUCCAAGAUCUUUUAUGAUCUUCCAUUAAGAAUAACAACCAACAACAUCUAUCAAACUCAAAGAAAUAAAAUCAAUAAAGAUGAAGACUUAUGGUUCAUAGUCUAGUCUCCCUUUCUCUCCCUCUCUCAAAAUAAAAUAAAAAUGAAAAAAAAAGGACUAAAUGUUGGAUGAUUUAACAAAUCAUCCUACACUUAAACCUAACCAUGAUUGAGAGUUAAAUUUACUCAUGUGGGGUGAUGAAAUGAAAGGAUGACACUUUGGAGAAAUUAUUGGAUAAAAGGCUUAAGAAGAUAGUUAAGAAUUAAAUUCUUUGUGCUCCCUAAAGCCACGAGUCAUCAAAUACUCCCCUCUUUGCUCCAUAUAACCAGACCUCCCUUGGCCAUUUAUGCCCCUUCUUGCUUUCCUUUAUCCCAUGUGUCAAUUAAUUUACAAAAGACACAUGUCCCUUCCAAACUUUGACUCCAAGACUUGCUAGCUUUUGGCUCCAAGUUCAAGCCAUAGCUCCUUUUCUUUAGCUCCAUCCAAGCCACAUCAUAUUCACUCUAGCCAAGCUAUCUUAAACUUUAGCCAAGCUAUUUUAAUUCCAAGCCAAUCCAUUUUAAUUUCUUAGCCAAGCUAUUUUAAUUUCAUGUCAAGCUAUUUUAAUUCCUUAACCAAGUUAUUUUAAUUUCAUGCCAAGCCAUUUUAAUUUCUCUAACAUUUAUAUUUAGUCAAAAUAUUAGCUUUCUCUUUUCUAAAUUUCGAUUUCACUUUCCAUCCCCAUUUCUCGAAUAAACAAUAUGUCAAAAUUUGAAAAUUCGAAAAUAUGAAAACACGUUUUUAACGUGAAUAGUAAUUUUACGUCUUUUCCAAUAAAAAUAUUUUUAUUGGAGAUUUCGUCUCCUUUUUUUCAAAUAAACGCUGCCAUAAUUCGAAAAGUUCAAAAAACGAAAAAAAUAUUUUCUGCGUUUUAUGAAUAGUGAUUUAACGUUUUUCUCAAAAAAAUUUAUUUUCUCCCAUAAACUUCCAUCACUCAUACAUAAUCAUGUUACACAUAAACUAAGUCAAUAAUCGACCUAAAUCACAUAACACAUAAUAUCAAUAAAGUUUUAUUUUAUUAAAUAUUCACAAUAAAAACCUAGUACAAGGUCAUCUGAUUUUUUAGGUCGUCACAGCCCAUGCAAUGAAAGUUUGGGGAAUAUAAUAUUCUAAAACUACAAACUAUAAUUCAUAAAAAGCUUUUUUCGAUAAUUGAGUUUAAGUUCACAGACUAUCGAAAAAUUAUAAAGUACAUAUUUACAAGGGGCAUACCCCAGGUGUAACAAAGAUAUCACAUAUCCGAAAGAUAAUCUAAAAAAACUAACAUUAGAAGCUAACAAAUUUCCUAAUACUCUUGGUUCAAAUGGCAAGGAAAUCUAAUAGUGGUGCUGAAAGUAGGCUAAUUUGUGUCAUUUAUUUGUGGGAUGGGCUACAAUAUAAUGGUUUUCUCCUUGUAAACCACACCGAGUCUCGUAGGUUUGUUUAUGAGACUUUUGAGAGGGCACAAAAUCAAAUGUUCCUGUUCACAUGGAAAUUAUGAAUUCAGCUGCUCAAAAUGCCCCUCCACAGUUUUUUGCUUUGCAAACAAGGUCACCUCAAGCGCAAAUAUUCCCGCUACAAAAUUUCCUAGUAAGGCCACAUGAACAGAUCUUUUCAAUCUGGAGGAACCCUAUACAGGCCACAAUCCAUCCCACAAGGUAUGUUCCAACAUUCCAUACUUGCUCAACUUCGUCCUGAACCUGCAGGAUCAGUUUCGGUGCCAUCUAUGGUUCCUCACAAUAUUGUAAACCCUAAGAAUCAAGCAGCAACAUCCAUUUCGCCACCGGCUCUAACCCCUCAACCUCCUAUUAACCCUACACUACUACUUGGGCCAACCUCCUCGUCUUUGUCAUUACCAGAGGAUUCUUCUGCAGCAUGCACUGAUUUUUCAAAAUGUUAAACUCGAGAAUAAUAAUAUUUAAGAAGGUUUGAGAUAGCAAUAUCUAUCAGAAGUUCCUGGUUAAGUGGCUUCUUGCCAGGGGAUGACGAUUGAUUUGUGAACAGCAGGAACUAAAUACAAUAUCUACACAAGUUUUUUUCAAAUUAUGUGAUAACUAGACAAACUUUUCUCUGUUUUUUUAAGUUUUACUUAACUUAAUUAUUGAAUAUCAUAAAAUUUUCUAGGCAUCACAUACAAAAUGCUACAAGUUGUUCAUUUCUCACAAUAGCAAAAUAUAUUACGUGAUAACUAAACAAGCAUACAUUGAGAAUUACGAAAGACUAGGAAUAGCGUGCCAAUUAGGAUGCGGCUGAAUAUCCUAAUGACAAUAGUCACCAUCAAUCGUUACUAUAAAUGCAAGUGGUGUAAACUAUGAAUGUAAUCAUAGGAAAUAAAUGUUUAUGUUUAUAGUUAUGUUUAAGUGCACUAAAAGAUCGUAUCCAAAACAAUAUAAUUAGCUAUAGUAUGGUACAGAAGAAUGAUCUGAGCACUUGGGAGAUAUGAAAUACAAAGAGAUUGAAUGUGAAUGUAUCAAGAUAUUGCAAAAGUUUGGUUGACAUGAAAAAAGUAAAUAAAAAGUCAACUAGAUCAACCAGUAUUGAAAAAUAGCAAAUAAAAAGCCUUUAAAUACAAGAACAUCCCCUGAUGUUUCAAGAACAUUAACUCAUACAAACUACCCCUACAAGUUUAAAGUUGGACAAAAUUAAUAAUAUGACCUUAAUAAACUUGAGAAAUUUGGCAUAAUACGAGAAAUUUUACCAAUGCAACCUGGUAUUCUGCACAACCAGUCACUGAACAUGAGACUGUUUUGAAAUGCCAUAAACAUCGACCUAAUAAUGCCAGCCUGUCCAUAAACAAAUAGCAACUGGGAUUUAGACACUUAAUCAAAAGAUAAAGCACUUUAAACCAAAGAGACGUACAUUUUUAUUGCAUCCUGUGGAAAAUCAAAAGAACUAUAGUCGGAUCUCUAAUGCGAUUGAAGAUCUACAUCUGCAUACCUUAUACUCCCACCAUUCCAUAGAAAUAUUCUCAUUUAGCUUUUAUCCUAAUUAAUUUGUGAAAUUCUAAAAUUUAAAUUGUGAUUUAUAUGAAUUUAGUAUCAUCUUUAAAAUAAGAAAUCCUUACAUGAUAGCAUUUUUGAGUAAUUUACAUGAUAUUUAAAAUUAAUUGAAUUCAUGUCAAUUUAAAUUUUAGAAUUUUUUAUAUGGAACACUAUUUGUAGAAUGGAGGGGGUAGUAGACUAUUUGAUUACUCCAUCCAGAAAAAUGAAAAUGUUAUGAUAUAUAUAAGCUCAAACCCCAUUUUCCUCUUGGNNNNNNNNNNNNNNNNNNNNNNNNNNNNNNNNNNNNNNNNNNNNNNNNNNNNNNNNNNNNNNNNNNNNNNNNNNNNNNNNNNNNNNNNNNNNNNNNNNNNGACGUCGAUGGCGGGAGGUCCAAUAUCAACCCCACAUUGAUAACCCCAUAUUGAUAUCCCAUACUGAUGUGGACAUGCUCAUAUUGAUAUUCAUAACAGAAAAAUAAAUUAAUCAAAGUCAAAAUUUUUAAACAACUAUGUAACUAGAUCUCCUAUAACAGAUCCCUGAAUUAAGCAAAUUGAAUCUAGAAAAAAUAAAUGAGUUAAAGAACAUGAUGCCCAACCUUAAAGGAUAAUCGGUUUUCAUCUUCAUCGUCUUCUGCACUAGUUGAAUCAUCUCUGGUUUCAACGCCUCUUUGAUUUAGAAUGAGCGACAUGAUAUAAGAAAGUUUAGGAUUAGAGUUGAGGGUUAAGGGUUAGGGAUAAGAAUAGGGGCGGCUAAGCAUGCAUUUUAUAGGACCACAUAUCUGUCUACUUAACUAAGACUUAUGACAG